UUGACCUCAAAUCAGGUAGGACUACCCGCUGAACUUAAGCAUAUCAAUAAGCGGAGGAAAAGAAACUAACAAGGAUUCCCCUAGUAACUGCGAGUGAAGCGGGAAAAGCUCAAAUUUGAAAUCUGGCAGUCCUUUGACUGUCCGAGUUGUAAUCUAGAGAAGUGCUACCUGUGCUGGACCGUGUACAAGUCUCCUGGAAUGGAGCAUCAUAGAGGGUGAGAAUCCCGUCUUUGACAUGGACUGCCUGUACAUUAUGGUGCGCUCUCAAAGAGUCGAGUUGUUUGGGAAUGCAGCUCAAAAUGGGUGGUAAAUGCCAUCUAAAGCUAAAUAUUGGCGAGAGACCGAUAGCGAACAAGUACCGUGAGGGAAAGAUGAAAAGAACUUUGGAAAGAGAGUUAAACAGUACGUGAAAUUGCUGAAAGGGAAACGCUUGAAGUCAGUCGCGUCGACUAGAAAUCAACCUUUGCUUCUGCUUGGUGUACUUUCUGGUUUCGAUGGGUCAGCAUCAAUUUUGACCGCUGGAUAAAGUCUUUGGGAAUGUGGCAUCUUAGGAUGUGUUAUAGCCCAUUGUCGUAUACGGUGGUUGGGAUUGAGGAACUCAGCACGCUCUGCAAAGGGACACGGGUGUUUUUGACCACGUUUCGUGCUUAGGAUGCUGGCAUAAUGGCUUUAAUCGACCCGUC
rnacentral:rRNA from 1 species